AGAGUUUGAUCCUGGCUCAGGAUGAACGCUGGCGGCGUGCCUAAUACAUGCAAGUCGAGCGAACAGACGAGGAGCUUGCUCCUUUGACGUUAGCGGCGGACGGGUGAGUAACACGUGGGUAACCUACCUAUAAGACUGGGAUAACUUCGGGAAACCGGAGCUAAUACCGGAUAAUAUUUCGAACUGCAUGGUUCGAUAGUGAAAGAUGGCUUUGCUAUCACUUAUAGAUGGACCUGCGCCGUAUUAGCUAGUUGGUAAGGUAACGGCUUUACCAAGGCAACGAUACGUAGCCGACCUGAGAGGGUGAUCGGCCACACUGGAACUGAGACACGGUCCAGACUCCUACGGGAGGCAGCAGUAGGGAAUCUUCCGCAAUGGGCGAAAGCCUGACGGAGCAACGCCGCGUGAGUGAUGAAGGUCUUCGGAUCGUAAAACUCUGUUAUUAGGGAAGAACAAACGUGUAAGUAACUGUGCACGUCUUGACGGUACCUAAUCAGAAAGCCACGGCUAACUACGUG
rnacentral:rRNA from 1 species